rnacentral:rRNA from 1 species
UGGGGAAUUUUGGACAAUGGGGNCAACCCUNAUCCAGCAAUGCCGCGUNUGUNAAGAAGGCCUUCGGGUUGUAAAGCACUUUUGUCCGGAAAGAAAUCGCUCUGGUUAAUACCUGGCGUNNAUGACGGUACCGGAAGAAUAAGCACCGGCUAACUACGUGCCAGCAGCCGCGGUAAUACGUAGGGUGCGAGCGUUAAUCGGAAUUACUGGGCGUAAAGCGUGCGCAGGCGGUUUUGUAAGNCAGGCGUGAAAUCCCCGGGCUUAACCUGGGAAUUGCGCUUGUGACUGCAAGGCUAGAGUGCGUCAGAGGGGGGUAGAAUUCCACGUGUAGCAGUGAAAUGCGUAGAGAUGUGGAGGAAUACCGAUGGCGAAGGCAGCCCCCUGGGACGUGACUGACGCUCAUGCACGAAAGCGUGGGGAGCAAACAGGAUUAGAUACCCUGGUAGUCCACGCCCUAAACGAUGUCAACUAGUUGUUGGGGAUUCAUUUUCUCAGUAACGUAGCUAACGCGUGAA